GGUUUGAUUAUGGCUCAGAUUGAACGCUAGCGGGAUGCUUUACAUGCAAGUCGAACGGCAGCACGGACUUCGGUCUGGUGGCGAGUGGCGAACGGGUGAAGUAAUGUAUCGGAACGUGCCUAGUAGCGGGGGAUAACUACGCGAAAGCGUAGCUAAUACCACGCUUACGCCCUUCGGGGGAAAAGCGGGGGACCUUCGGGCCUCGCACUAUUAGAGCGGCCGAUAUCGGAUUAGCUAGUUGGUGGGGUAACGGCUCCUGCGGGCGACGAUCCGUAGCUGGUUUGAGAGGACGACCAGCCACACUGGGACUGAGACACGGCCCAGACUCCUACGGGAGGCAGCAGUGGGGGAAUUUGGACAAUGGGGAAACCCUGAUCCAGCCAUCCCGUGUGCGAUGAAGGCCUUCGAGGUUGUAAAGCACUUUUGGCAGAAAGAAACGGCACGGGGAUAAUACCCCGUGCAACUGACGGUACCUGCAGAAUAAGCACCGGCUAACCUGCGUGCCAGCAGCCGCGGUAUGCAGUAAGUGCAAGCGUUAAUCGGAAUUGCACUGGGCGUAAAGCGUGCGCAGGCGGUUCGGAAGAAGAUGUGAAAUCCCAGGCUUAACUUUGAACUGCAUUUUUUUAACUACAGAGCUAGAGUGUGUCAGAGGGAGGUGGAAUUCCGCGUGUAGCGGUGAAAUCGUAGAUAUGCGGAGGAACACCGAUGGCGAAGGCAGCCUCCUGGGAUAACACUGACGCUCAUGCACGAAAGCGUGGGGAGCAAACGGGAUUAGAUACCCUGGUAGUCCACGCCCUAAACGAUGUCAACUAGCUGUUG
rnacentral:misc_RNA from 1 species